UGCCAGCCGCCGCGGUAAUACGAAUGUGUCAAGCGUUGUUCGGAAUCACUGGGCUUAAAGCGCUCGUAGGUGGUUUGUUAAGUCAGAAGUGAAAUCCCACGGCCCAACCGUGGAAUUGCUUCUGAAACUGGCAGACUUGAGGGCAGGAGGGGAGAGUGGAAUUCUGGGUGUAGCGGUGAAAUGCGUAGAUAUCCAGGAGAACGCCGGUGGCGAAAGCGGCUCUCUGGCCUGUUUCUAACACUGAGGGGCGAAAGCUAGGGGAGCGAACGGGAUUAGAUA
rnacentral:rRNA from 1 species